rnacentral:lncRNA from 1 species
UAAUCCAUGAGUUUAAGUUUCAUCUAGCUAAACAGAAGCAGCUAGCUUCAGCUACUCGUGGCUGCAAUCAAACGCAUAAUCUCAACAAAUAAAACCAUGUGUUAAAUGUACCAACUUGAAGUAAUAGUUUUGAUCUCCUAACACUUCUCCUUCCUUUGAUGUUAAUACUCACGUUUUCUGCCUUAUUCUCCUCUGAAAAUCGUUUUCAGAACCCUCUAUUAUCUCUAGUCAACCUCCUCAAAUCGUAAACACCAAUGUUAUUUAUAGUUUUCAUGAUUUUGAACUCUACAUCGUGGACUAGGAUUCUACGUCGUGAAUUAGGAUGAAUCGUUAUCGGGCAAGGACUUCGACUUCCCGUGUACUCAUCUUUUAGAAUCACCAUCUCCACGUCAUGUAAGUGAAGUCCACGACGUGGAUUUAGCUUUUCGCUGAGAUUUUCUUUUCCUUAAUUCUUCAAUCCUCCAAAGUUCCGUCACUUGUAACUUUUGGUCCUUAUUCUUCAAGAUUUCUCCUUUUGGCUGCACAUUACAAUUAAAUUUUAUAAGUACCAUUUAUCUAUGCAAAUAACCAAAAUAUUAAUCAAAAUGUAUUCAGAUAUUGCCAUNNNNNNNNUAUAUAUAUAUAUAUGGCAAUAUCAAAACACAACCACUAAAAUUGCUACUGAUUCUAAGAAAAAGAAAUGCAAAUUUACUUACCUGAAAUCAAGGGAUCGUGAGACCACCUACUGCUUCCUUUCUGAAAUCGCAAUGGUGUGUAGUGGUGGCCAGAGUUGGUAAUGGUGUGGUGGUCGAAGCAGGAGAUGGUGGGUGG